UUCUAGAGAGUGCUGUUCACUCCCAUGGGAACAGGACCCUGGAGCCUGCAGUGCCUUUGAGGCUGCGUUUUUGGGGUGCAGAUGCUUUGCGGGGAGCCCAGGGCCAUGUGGGAUCUCUCUUCUCAGGCCUGCGUCCUGGGCAGCUGGAUUCCCUGGCCUUUCUCGCCGACCUCAUGGGUGAGUGUGGACUGCAGUGUCGCCUACUCCACCCUUGCUGGGGAGCAUGGAUGUUACUGGUGCCCACUUUGCCCCCGCCUUCCCCCCUGCCCCCGGUCUUGCCUGGUGCCCUCAGAGCCUGAGCCUCUCACCCACACCUGCCAUGUAAUUCCGGUCCUCCUCUGGCUGUCUCACAGGUGAGGGAAACAUUCUGCCCUCUGUCACUCCACCAAUUUAGUUUUAGCCAUUAAUUUGCUUUAGGUUUUUUUAGUCAUUCUUCAGUUUAUAUUUGCUUGAUCAACCAAAAGACCAGCCAGCAGGGCACUCUUGAGUCAGCUCUGAAGAGAUCAGCUGGCUAAGAUGAUUUUUCCAGUGCUCAACAUUAACUUGAUCAUUUCCCCCCACCCAAAAAAAAAAUGCUUAACUGCAGAGAGCACUCUACUCUGGGUGACAGAGUGACGCCCUGUAAAAAAAAAAAAAAAAAAAAAUUGCUCAGAGUAGUCCAAAGGUUGUUUAAACAGCGCUGAAUGACUGAGAGAGCUUGCUGCUUAUUUUUUUCCUUCCAGUAGAAAAACAGUUAUAGCCCAGCUGAUGAGGUAGAAAUGCACUGAGCAGGUCUCAGCCCCAGCGGAAACAGAGUAGCCCUCGUCAUCCAGGUGCUGUGUUGCUUGGUAAAAGUGUGUCUGCCUCGGGCUGCGACCUGCCACGUGAACUCUCUGACCCAGCACCAGCCAGAAUCAACAUUUGGGGAUUCAGACUGCAGCAACAAGUGAUUCCCCUCUUGGCCUGCAGUUCUGUAAUCCCAAAAUUGUUUCUAAUUGUGGAUAUGAGACAUCAAAAUGAGGGCUGAAUCAGAUGAAAUUAUGCUCAGUUCAGCCUCAGAUUUAAGUGAUUUAUUGUUUUCUAGUUCUUCAGACCUAAUAGAGCUGCUGUGGUGGCUCUGUCAGUGGUUGGCAGUGGCCAUCAGCCCUCACCCUGCCAUUGGGGGCCUUGUGCGUUGGCAUCUGGUUGUUGCUAGCAGCCCUGAGGGGGAUGGGGCAGGCCACCGCCACCUCUCACUGGCUGCUGGGCUCAGGACUGGUCUGCUGUUAGGGAAGCUGCAAGUCCAGCCAGUUGACUGCACCUAUUUAAGAAAAAGCACUACUCUGUUACCUGAGAACCUUUGAGAUUCCUGUUGUGAAGGAACAAUCAUAUGGAAAUGAAAACUUAAGCUUUUAGCUAAUAACAGAAAAGUGAACUAGCUUUUGUCAGUUGUUCAAAAGUGUAAAAUUCUACUGAAAGAAGACAGCUCAAUAUUUCAAACGCUGGAGCUGUGUUAUUUGGUAACCAAGUAGAGACGGCGCCCGGCAGUAAUCUGCGGCUGCUCAGUGUGGCCCUUUCACUGAGGCCUUGGUCCACAGCACCAGCCCCGAGAGGGGUCCCAGCUGCCGACCUUCAGGCUUUCUUUUCUGUUUAUAAAGUGAGGGUAUUCUCAGAGAGCUUUGAGGAGAAAAUAGUGAAGCUUGAAGGUUGUUGGUGAAGCUGUGAAAUAUUGAACACUUCCUAAUCUUAGAUUAGGUUUUCUGCAUCUUAGAUGAGUCUUGAAUAGCUAUAACCAAAGGCUCUUGUUUAUUUAAACACUUUAAUUAUAGAGAGCUAAAGGCAGGAGGCACAGGGUUUGGGUGGGUGAGGGGCUUUGCAGAAUACAGCUGGUGCUCAUCAGCCCCUGCUAGGAAUUUAGGACUCACUGGUGUAGUUGCUAUAAAAGCUGCCACCUCCAGGAAGACAACUAUGGGUGUUUAAAGUGGUGGUGGUGUAGACAGCGACAUUUCCAGUGAGCUUUAGGCAGGAAUGCAGGGAGGGCCUUGGGAGCGAGGCAGCAGGCGGGCAGGUGUGGAUGGGUCCAUGCUCAGAGCCAUAUCAUCACCCCCAGGCAGCAUCCUGAAGCCCACUGAGAAUUUGGGCUGAGUGAUGUGCCCCGGAGUGGGAGGCAGCUGGCACCACACGUUUCUCUGGUAGCUUCUUCGGCUGUGGAAGUCUCCAGGUUAGGGGCUGAUCACCACCACUUCGUCCAUGACCCUCUGUCUCCUGUCUUUAGAGGUCAGCGGAACGGUUCCGUGGAGCCGCCCUCCCUUAAGCCCAGAUGCUCACACCGAGCUUCCUGAUUGUCCUUCUUGUCAUGGCUGUGUUCAAGAUGUUCUUUCUGUGGGGCGUCUCUUCCUUGCUGGGCUGACAGCCCUGGGACAGCGGGGACGCCACACCCUGGGGCACACCGCCUAGGGUCCCUUGUGUGGUGGGGGGCCAAGAGAGACUGCUAUGGAAGGUGAUGUUGACUGGGAUUACCAGUACAGGUCCUGACAACUGUAAGGUCACAAUUAGUAUCCAGCAUGCCUGUCUGCCAUGCAUCCCUUUGCCCAUCCUGAGCUGGCGAUGAUGCCACAUGUGAGGCCCUGUCCUGGACUCACCAUGUGGGUGUUUGCAGCUCUGCCUGAGAGACCUUGUUCCUCAUGCACAAUAGGAAGCAGCAGGCCUGUCUGUUAGGACUGCUGUGAGUCACUGCGAUGGCCCAGGAGCCUGCCACGUUCUGAGGUCAUCAGCACAGCACCCGUUGUUGUUACUGGGAGUUAACAUGCAGGGGGGACUCCCUCUAACGGCAGCAUGCUGAGUACUGGCAGCCUCACUGAUCCGGUCAUGUGGCCUCGGGAGCCGCACAGGCUUCAUGGGGGUUUUGUGGUUUUAAGGACUGUGAGGGUUGACUGAAUUAUAUGCACUCACUUGUCAUGUUUCUGGGCUUUUUGUGCCCUUUUCCCUGGUACUGCAGGAAAGGAAAAGACAAAGUACUGUCAAGAGCAAUUGCUGAGCAGAUUUGAUGUGAUGCAGUAGGAUGAGACAUGAUACUGGGAUCACCUCUUCCAGGUCACCGCAAGGGUUUAUACUGCUCCAUGCCUGCAGUGCUUCUGGCUCUGUUGCGGGAGCACCUGACCCCAGUAGCCACAGCCAAGAAGGUUUUACUUUUAAAUGGCAUCGGCAGGUGGGUAAGAGUUGAUGAUGCUGCUGGCAGGUGAGGGACCGGCUGUGGACUUCCAUCGCCGGUUCCACCUGCCCUCCUGGGCCAGGGUCUCUGAGAUCUUGGAUGUGGAUUUCAUCUCCUUGUUGUCAAUACCUGGUGCUUUUAUCUAUCAUCAGUACACUGUACUUUUACUUCUCUGCUAUGUUGACUCCUGAGAACAUGAGAUUUAACAAUGCAUUUAUUUUAUUAAAAGCCAGUUUUUCUUGGCAAUCUGUAUUUUUUAACACAAGACAGUCUGACAUUAGCGCACUGGUGUUGGCGGCCUCUGAUAAGGCAAAGCCACCUUUUGCUGCUGUGUUGCCGCAAGAACACGGGUCAUCUGGUGAUGCGGACACGUUCCCGUUGGAGCUGGAGCGUGUCCCCCUCGCUGCUGUGAAGAAGCACAGUAAGAUAUGUGAUAAAUGAUAAAUUUUAAUAGUUAUGUUUAAAUGAAAGAAUGGGGUGAAUUUUACCUCUGUUUUUAAUGUUUCUGGAGUAUGUCAAAAAAUACUAGAAAGGAGUACUGACUAUUCACAAACACAGUGCUUGUAUACCUGUGGUGCUUCCUAGACAUGCCAUUGCUGUCUCAGCAGCUCCACCUCGGAUCGCGGGGAAGCGAGGCAGCAACUGGAAGCCUGGGGUCCUGCUGGUGCCAUCUCUGAAGCGCCUCUGCCUCUCACGCGGGUGUCCUGCUCUCUGGCUGCGUGCGUUUGUGCCCUCUCUACGCUUCUCGAG
rnacentral:lncRNA from 1 species